rnacentral:lncRNA from 1 species
AGGUCGAAGAGCGUAGCCUGGUCCACCUUGACGAACUUCGCGUCCCAGCUCUUGAGGUCCUCGCCGCCCUCGGAGGCAGCGGAGUCAGCGGGUUUGGCGGCGGCGUGGACGUGACUGUUGCAGUACUCGAUGACCUUAGAGAGGAUCCUGGAGUUGACGUUGGGGAGCGGGAUGCCGUUGUCGGCGCAGUCGUCCUCGAUCAUGUGGCGGAGAGUCUGCGACUCCAUGGCCACCGCUUCCUCCACCUCGAACUCCUCUAAGUCGGAGCUCCUGAGCGUGAUCAUCCUCUUGUUUUCGCCCUCGGACGCCAUCGAUGGAUCGACGAGAGAUGAGGCGACGAAACCCUAGCUAGUUGCAGCGAUUUGAUCUGUGAUGGUCGAUUGCGAGGGAAACGCCUCUCCUGACUACUUUUCCUUCGAUUCGCCUGCCCUGCCCUCUUUAGUUU